rnacentral:rRNA from 1 species
CAGUCGCCGCGGUAAUACGAAGGGUGCAAGCGUUAAUCGGAAUUACUGGGCGUAAAGCGUGCGUAGGCGGUUUGUUAAGUCUGCUGUGAAAUCCCCGGGCUCAACCUGGGAAUGGCAGUGGAUACUGGCAAGCUAGAGUGUGUCAGAGGAUGGUGGAAUUCCCGGUGUAGCGGUGAAAUGCGUAGAGAUCGGGAGGAACAUCAGUGGCGAAGGCGGCCAUCUGGGACAACACUGACGCUGAGGCACGGAAGCGUGGGGAGCAAACAGGAUUAGAUACCCGUGUAGUCCCUGUCUCUUAUAC